rnacentral:rRNA from 1 species
GACGGGUGAGUAAUGUCUGGGAAACUGCCUGAUGGAGGGGGAUAACUACUGGAAACGGUAGCUAAUACCGCAUAACGUCGCAAGACCAAAGAGGGGGACCUUCGGGCCUCUUGCCAUCAGAUGUGCCCAGAUGGGAUUAGCUAGUAGGUGGGGUAAUGGCUCACCUAGGCGACGAUCCCUAGCUGGUCUGAGAGGAUGACCAGCCACACUGGAACUGAGACACGGUCCAGACUCCUACGGGAGGCAGCAGUGGGGAAUAUUGCACAAUGGGCGCAAGCCUGAUGCAGCCAUGCCGCGUGUGUGAAGAAGGCCUUCGGGUUGUAAAGCACUUUCAGCGAGGAGGAAGGUGGUGAGCUUAAUACGCUCAUCAAUUGACGUUACUCGCAGAAGAAGCACCGGCUAACUCCGUGCCAGCAGCCGCGGUAAUACGGAGGGUGCAAGCGUUAAUCGGAAUUACUGGGCGUAAAGCGCACGCAGGCGGUUUGUUAAGUCAGAUGUGAAAUCCCCGGGCUCAACCUGGG